rnacentral:lncRNA from 1 species
CCCUUAACUGCCAACAGAUGGUAACAAUUAAGUGUCUGCAGUCUCUAUGGCUGCCUUCUGUGGAGGAGGGGGAAGUUGAUAUGGUGUGGUCUGAACACGCCCAAGAUGUAUCUUCUUAGAAAGAGCGGAUGCCUGUUGAUGAAGUGACUUUCUUUCUCCACAGGUAUAUAAGGGUUUUUAGAAGUUGUUUUGAAAUGGGUUUUGCAACUUCUUUCUGCAGUUGUUUCUCUGUGCUGUUCCAUCAGGGGGCAUAUUGAAUCUGAGCAUUAACUUAAAAUGUCAGUUGUUAACCUUUGGAGCAGUCAUUCAAUGAGCCUUUAACAUUUUAUGACAGGCAUGUAUAAUUUAGUGACUACGUUUCGUACAUCUUUUUCCGUGGAGGACUUUUUUUUUAGGACCACCAACAGGUCUUCGUCUUGGAGGCAACAGAAGUCCAAGACCAAAUAUAAAUACCUGGCUAUAUGCAAAUGCCAUUUUUAGGAGGCAGCACGCGUCAUAGAACUGGAGUAUGAGUUAGGAUCAUCCGAUCUGACUUUCCAGGCCUCACCAAGUCAUGUAACAAAGGAAAGUACCCAAUAGCUGUUUCCUAGCUGUGGGAGAAGGCUGUGCUGCUGUCAUGCAGACAGAAGUUGAGUCCAUCUUUACUACUUAAUACUGCUAAGCCAAUUAUAUUUUAUGAGUAUGCUUUCUUAUAUUAAUCUGAGAUUUUUUCCUUAUUAACCAAGAAUUCAUCAUGAUACUAGUUCUCCCUGCCCUUGUCAUCUGAUCUUUACCUGUCUUUAAGUACUGCUUAAAUACUCUUCUGAUGGCUCUAUAAUUGAGGAAUAGCUAAAAAAGCCAUACAAAUGCUGAUACUUUUCACCAGGCUCAUCUUUUCUGCCCUUUCUUUCAGCCCUUACGCCACUUUCUUAACUAGUUUAAAACAUAUUGACAUAUGUCUUACAUGAUAACUUGCCCAAAUCAUGAUUGUAUGAUCACGGCUGACAAUCUAGUCUCAGGUUGUUGGUGAAAAUUAGGUCAAGUGAUCACUACCUUGUGUGCCUAAAAUAGCUUUUCUAUUAUGCUGCUCUGUGCUAGAAAAUUAGCAUGAGACUUAAUUGCUUUGUGCAACCUUAGCAGCCUCUGUUACCCUAAAGGCUGACACUUCUCAAACUGCUUUUGUUCAUUUUAACCCUGCUUUCUUUGCUUACCUUACGGUCUUGGUCUCAUUUUUGUUUCAAGCAAUGCUACUUCUGGCAUUUCAGCAGAAUAGAAGAAGGCGGUAAUUUUCAUUAAUACUAUGCUCAGGCUCUUUGCUUGUGAAAACUGGCCUGUUUCCUCUUAAGUUGCUGGGUAUCUGGCAGUUUUACAUGCAUUUGAUCAGACAUUUAAUCUGUCAGAUGGAAUAACGUAGGAUCAGUUUGAUGGAUGAGUUGCAGAACACAUACUAUCCCUGUAGUAGGAAUAGCUGAAACGUCUGAUAACCAUACUUUAUACCAGG